rnacentral:rRNA from 1 species
UGAGGAAUAUUGCACAAUGGGCGCAAGCCUGAUUCAGCAACGCCGCGUGCGGGACGAAGGCCUUCGGGUCGUAAACCGCUUUUCUGGGGGCAGAGCAAGGACGGUACCUCAGGAAUAAGUCUCGGCUAACUACGUGCCAGCAGCCGCGGUAAAACGUAGGAGGCGAGCGUUAUACGGAUUUACUGGGCGUAAAGCGCACGCAGGCGGCUCUGUUAGUCGGACGUGAAAGCUCUCGGCUUAACCGGGAGAGGCCGUUCGAUACUGCGGGGCUUGAGGUAGGGAGAGGAAUGCGGAAUUCCCGGUGUAGUGGUGGAAUGCGUAGAUAUCGGGAGGAACACCUGUGGCGAAAGCGGCAUUCUGGCCCUCACCUGACGCUGAGGUGCGAAAGCGUGGGUAGCAAACA